rnacentral:tRNA from 1 species
GCUAGCUCAGUCAGUAGAGCAUGAGACUCUUAAUCUCAGGGUCGUGGGUUCAUGCCCCACAUUGGGCA